rnacentral:rRNA from 1 species
GAUAGUGAACCAGUACCGUGAGGGAAAGGUGAAAAGCACCCCGGAAGGGGAGUGAAAUAGAACCUGAAACCGUGUGCUUACAAAUAGUCAGAGCCCGUUAAUGGGUGAUGGCGUGCCUUUUGUAGAAUGAACCGGCGAGUUACGAUUUGAUGCAAGGUUAAGCAGUAAAUGUGGAGCCGUAGCGAAAGCGAGUCUGAAUAGGGCGAAUGAGUAUCUGGUCGUAGACCCGAAACCAAGUGAUCUACCCAUGUCCAGGUUGAAGUUCAGGUAACACUGAAUGGAGGACCGAACCGACUUACGUUGAAAAGUGAGCGGAUGAGGUGUGGGUAGCGGAGAAAUUCCAAUCGAACUUGGAGAUAGCUGGUUCUCUCCGAAAUAGCUUUAGGGCUAGCCUCAAGUGAUGAUUAUUGGAGGUAGAGCACUGUUUGGACGAGGGGCCCCUCUCGGGUUACCGAAUUCAGACAAACUCCGAAUGCCAAAUAAUUUAACUUGGGAGUCAGACUAUGGGUGAUAAGGUCCGUAGUCGAAAGGGAAACAGCCCAGACCACCAGCUAAGGUCCCAAAAUAUAUGUUAAGUGGAAAAGGAUGUGGCGUUGCCCAGACAACUAGGAUGUUGGCUUAGAAGCAGCCAUCAUUUAAAGAGUGCGUAAUAGCUCACUAGUCGAGUGAC